rnacentral:rRNA from 1 species
GGGUUGUGAGGUUAAGCGACUAAGCGUACACGGUGGAUGCCCUGGCAGUCAGAGGCGAUGAAGGACGUGCUAAUCUGCGAUAAGCGUCGGUAAGGUGAUAUGAACCGUUAUAACCGGCGAUUUCCGAAUGGGGAAACCCAGUGUGAUUCGUCACACUAUCAUUAACUGAAUCCAUAGGUUAAUGAGGCGAACCGGGGGAACUGAAACAUCUAAGUACCCCGAGGAAAAGAAAUCAACCGAGAUUCCCCCAGUAGCGGCGAGCGAACGGGGAGCAGCCCAGAGCCUGAAUCAGUGUGUGUGUUAGUGGAAGCGUCUGGAAAGGCGCGCGAUACAGGGUGACAGCCCCGUACACAAAAAUGCACAUGCUGUGAGCUCGAUGAGUAGGGCGGGACACGUGGUAUCCUGUCUGAAUAUGGGGGGACCAUCCUCCAAGGCUAAAUACUCCUGACUGACCGAUAGUGAACCAGUACCGUGAGGGAAAGGCGAAAAGAACCCCGGCGAGGGGAGUGAAAAAGAACCUGAAACCGUGUACGUACAAGCAGUGGGAGCACGCUUAGGCGUGUGACUGCGUACCUUUUGUAUAAUGGGUCAGCGACUUAUAUUCUGUAGCAAGGUUAACCGAAUAGGGGAGCCGAAGGGAAACCGAGUCUUAACUGGGCGUUAAGUUGCAGGGUAUAGACCCGAAACCCGGUGAUCUAGCCAUGGGCAGGUUGAAGGUUGGGUAACACUAACUGGAGGACCGAACCGACUAAUGUUGAAAAAUUAGCGGAUGACUUGUGGCUGGGGGUGAAAGGCCAAUCAAACCGGGAGAUAGCUGGUUCUCCCCGAAAGCUAUUUAGGUAGCGCCUCGUGAAUUCAUCUCCGGGGGUAGAGCACUGUUUCGGCAAGGGGGUCAUCCCGACUUACCAACCCGAUGCAAACUGCGAAUACCGGAGAAUGUUAUCACGGGAGACACACGGCGGGUGCUAACGUCCGUCGUGAAGAGGGAAACAACCCAGACCGCCAGCUAAGGUCCCAAAGUCAUGGUUAAGUGGGAAACGAUGUGGGAAGGCCCAGACAGCCAGGAUGUUGGCUUAGAAGCAGCCAUCAUUUAAAGAAAGCGUAAUAGCUCACUGGUCGAGUCGGCCUGCGCGGAAGAUGUAACGGGGCUAAACCAUGCACCGAAGCUGCGGCAGCGACGCUUAUGCGUUGUUGGGUAGGGGAGCGUUCUGUAAGCCUGUGAAGGUGUGCUGUGAGGCAUGCUGGAGGUAUCAGAAGUGCGAAUGCUGACAUAAGUAACGAUAAAGCGGGUGAAAAGCCCGCUCGCCGGAAGACCAAGGGUUCCUGUCCAACGUUAAUCGGGGCAGGGUGAGUCGACCCCUAAGGCGAGGCCGAAAGGCGUAGUCGAUGGGAAACAGGUUAAUAUUCCUGUACUUGGUGUUACUGCGAAGGGGGGACGGAGAAGGCUAUGUUGGCCGGGCGACGGUUGUCCCGGUUUAAGCGUGUAGGCUGGUUUUCCAGGCAAAUCCGGAAAAUCAAGGCUGAGGCGUGAUGACGAGGCACUACGGUGCUGAAGCAACAAAUGCCCUGCUUCCAGGAAAAGCCUCUAAGCAUCAGGUAACAUCAAAUCGUACCCCAAACCGACACAGGUGGUCAGGUAGAGAAUACCAAGGCGCUUGAGAGAACUCGGGUGAAGGAACUAGGCAAAAUGGUGCCGUAACUUCGGGAGAAGGCACGCUGAUAUGUAGGUGAAGCGACUUGCUCGUGGAGCUGAAAUCAGUCGAAGAUACCAGCUGGCUGCAACUGUUUAUUAAAAACACAGCACUGUGCAAACACGAAAGUGGACGUAUACGGUGUGACGCCUGCCCGGUGCCGGAAGGUUAAUUGAUGGGGUUAGCGCAAGCGAAGCUCUUGAUCGAAGCCCCGGUAAACGGCGGCCGUAACUAUAACGGUCCUAAGGUAGCGAAAUUCCUUGUCGGGUAAGUUCCGACCUGCACGAAUGGCGUAAUGAUGGCCAGGCUGUCUCCACCCGAGACUCAGUGAAAUUGAACUCGCUGUGAAGAUGCAGUGUACCCGCGGCAAGACGGAAAGACCCCGUGAACCUUUACUAUAGCUUGACACUGAACAUUGAGCCUUGAUGUGUAGGAUAGGUGGGAGGCUUUGAAGUGUGGACGCCAGUCUGCAUGGAGCCGACCUUGAAAUACCACCCUUUAAUGUUUGAUGUUCUAACGUUGACCCGUAAUCCGGGUUGCGGACAGUGUCUGGUGGGUAGUUUGACUGGGGCGGUCUCCUCCUAAAGAGUAACGGAGGAGCACGAAGGUUGGCUAAUCCUGGUCGGACAUCAGGAGGUUAGUGCAAUGGCAUAAGCCAGCUUGACUGCGAGCGUGACGGCGCGAGCAGGUGCGAAAGCAGGUCAUAGUGAUCCGGUGGUUCUGAAUGGAAGGGCCAUCGCUCAACGGAUAAAAGGUACUCCGGGGAUAACAGGCUGAUACCGCCCAAGAGUUCAUAUCGACGGCGGUGUUUGGCACCUCGAUGUCGGCUCAUCACAUCCUGGGGCUGAAGUAGGUCCCAAGGGUAUGGCUGUUCGCCAUUUAAAGUGGUACGCGAGCUGGGUUUAGAACGUCGUGAGACAGUUCGGUCCCUAUCUGCCGUGGGCGCUGGAGAACUGAGGGGGGCUGCUCCUAGUACGAGAGGACCGGAGUGGACGCAUCACUGGUGUUCGGGUUGUCAUGCCAAUGGCACUGCCCGGUAGCUAAAUGCGGAAGAGAUAAGUGCUGAAAGCAUCUAAGCACGAAACUUGCCCCGAGAUGAGUUCUCCCUGACCCUUUAAGGGUCCUGAAGGAACGUUGAAGACGACGACGUUGAUAGGCCGGGUGUGUAAGCGCAGCGAUGCGUUGAGCUAACCGGUACUAAUGAACCGUGAGGCUUAACCUUACAACGCCGAAGCUGUU